rnacentral:lncRNA from 10 species
GUGAGGAGCGCCUGGGCCGGGCAGCGACCCCGUCUGGGAGGAUAAUGAACUCCAGCUGCAUCCACUUGCUGCAAAGGACGUGAUUUCAUUCUUUAUGGAAGAGCCCCACCCCUACACCCCAUGGUCCGCUGCGUCCGACUGGUGGAAGCAGGAUCUGUGGUGAGAUACCUCAGCACAAGCAUAUGCAGGCCUGUGGUAGACGCCGGAAGUAGGGCCCUUUGUCUCCAAGAAUGGGCAGACUCUCAACAGGUGAAAGAAAAACAGUACUCCAGGUAGGGGCCAAGCAGAAGCAACAGGUCAAAGAAAGGCCUGGAAGUGGAAAAGCCCUGGGUUCAGUUUGCUAAGAGCCCAGGAGACUAGCUGGAUACAAGGCCGGAAGAAGGGUGGGGCUCUGAUGCACCAGCUUCUCCAAUCUUCCUGGCUCCAGGGAGGAGAUGCAUUUGAACAAUCCUGAAAAACUUUUGGAUCCCAAGUCUGACUCAACAUUGUGACUUGCUUACUCCGUGUCACUCUUCUAGAUGCUUUUGAAAUAUAUUAUCAUAACAAUGAGUAAGUUCUAUUUCCAUUCUCAGAAAAGAAAACUGAUUCAAGAUUGUGUAACUUGCUGCUUCUGGUUGGUGAGAUUUAAAAAAAAAAAAAAGAUUAUGUAACUUGUUCAAAGUCAUAUGGAUUACAAACUAUAGCGCAGGGACUUAAUUUCAGUCUGGC